AUUAACUGAGCGAAGAGCCCGUUCCUUAGUGCCACGUGUCUGAAGUUCAUAGGAGAGAGGAGAGGUGGUGCUCUCGGUUUCGCCUAUUCUCUUCUUUCCCUUCUUGGAGACAGAUCGGGUCUGAUCUUCACGCGAAGAGAGUCGGGGUCAGCCCAAUUCACGAUCAGGAUGAGGAAUCGAUGGGCUAGGGCUAAUAUCAGUGCUCGUGUUGCUUCUCUCCAAUCUCUGAAACUCGAUGUCUUCGCGCUUCAGGGUCUCAAACCAGCAGCUGAUCUCCGUUGUCACGUUCUGUUGGAAGCUCGAGGCGUCUACAGCGGUGAUGUCAAACCGGAGAAUCUGCGUUUAGACCAGAAGCGGACAUCUUCAAUCGACAAUGGCUAGGUUAGAUGAAUGGAGAGUCAGAAGAAGAGAUACUGAGGAAUAGAUGCGACACAUGCAAUUACCACAGAAGUUACAAGAGCGUGUGAGGUGGUUCGUCCAAUACAAAUGGUUAACCACUCGUGGAGUCGAUGAAGAAGCCAUCCUCCGUGCUCUACCAUUGGAUCUCCCCUUGUCCACGAGAACCGUGAGAAGUCUCUCUGAAGUUGAAGCUUUCGCUCUCAGAGCUGAGGACUUAAAGUUCGUAGCUAAUCAAUUCAGACGCCUCCACAGCAACAAACUCCAACAUGCUUUCAGAUACUAUUUGCAUCAAUGGAGGGCUUGGGGAACUGGUUUUAUACAAGCUGCAUGGAGACGAUACAUGAAGAGGAAUUUAAGUGUAUCUCCAACUCAUAGCUCUUUUGUCUUAUCUUUCAUAAUAGGAAACAUAUAAUAAUUUCUUGAUUAUAACAAUAUUUAAGAGCAUGACAACAAGGAGUGAAAGGUGCUUUGACUAUUGCAGCAGAGAUGUUUGAGUUGACACCGUCGUUGGUUGUUGUUGAGGUGAAGAAGAAAGGAAAAGAUAUAACAUAGUACGAAGAGUUUUUGUAACAGUGAAUUGAAACCCAUGUUGCAGAAUCUGACAGCUGAUGAUGUGAAAGAGCCUGUAGCGGUUUCAGCGGUUGAUGUAAUCGUGAGUUCUCUAGAUAUGUUGGAGAUAGUUAGAGAAGUGGGAUAUGGUGUUAUGUUUGUACUAACUUUUUAGCAGUUUUGUUUCUUGUGUGGGUGGGAGCAUUGAAAACAGUUUUGAUCAGAUCUUUACUACGAAUAAAACAAUGAAACCAUAAUAAAGAAACUUGUUAUCUUCUUUCUAAAGAUGUUUAUCCUCUGGAAAGAAAACGGUGUUCCUCUAUUGGUUCCUCUCCUCGACCACGGAAGACGGCGAGAUCUCUCUCAUGGUGGCUUUUGGAGAGGAAGAAAAACGGUGACUGUUAAUGCUCAGACAAAUCGAAAGGUAAAAAUGAGUUUUAAUGUUUGAAUAUUUCAAUUAUGCAUGUCUUAAUAAUUUCAAUUAGAUUAUCGUUUAUUUUAGUAAUCUUUGUUUUUAUGUUUUUAUGUUUCUUUUAAAUCUAUGUUUAAAAUGUUAUGUUUGACUUUGUUUUAUUUAAUAAAUAAAUUUAAUCUUUAUUUAAAAUUUUAUGUUAAAAAUUAAUUUAAUAUUUUUUAUUGUUAAGAGCUUUUAUUAAGAAACUACAAUUAAACCAUUAUAAUUAAGUGUCUCUUAACAAAGUUUCUUAUCUCACUUUUAAGAGUUAAAAAUUCACUGAGAACCCGUAAGUGGGUUUUACCAAUAAACAUGCUCUAAGAAACUACCAUUAAGAGAUGUAAUAGACGUCUUUUAGCUUUUUAGGUUGGGUCUAAGAAACUAACAUUAAAAAGCUAAGAAACUAUCAUUUAAAAGCUAAAAGACCGUAUAUUAUAUUAUGCUAAGAGACCCAACCUAAGAGACCUGCAAUAAACAUGCUCUUAGAGCAGCAAUGUGGUUUCUCAGCUCCUCUCUUAAACAUACAAUAAUAAUAUAAUUUAGCAUUUUAACUAAAAUUUAAAUAGAAAAGCCCUAAAUUAAUUACGUGUUGACACCUUGUAGAAAAAGCUCUCACACUCUUGAAAACAUCUCUGAGAGAAGAAUCGUUUCCCUCUAUCUCUCCUACUUUCCCUCCCUCUCUCCUCUUUUGUCUAGUUGCUUUAUAUUACUAAGACCAAGAUUAAUUCGGGCUCUUAGGGUAGGAUUCUUAGCUUCGGCUAAGAACCGUCCCUUAAAUAAGAGAUAUAAGAACCCGCUCUUAGCCAAAAAAUGUAAAAAAAAAAUAAAAAGUGUUAAAUCAUGAGUUAAGAACUCUAAAUUAAGAACCCGGGAUAAUCAUGCUCUUAGAUAACAAAUUAUAUUUUGGAGAUACAUAUGUGUGAUCGUAGACAAAGAAACAAUAAAUAAGAACCAAAGGAAAGAUAUAUGCGUACAAACUACAAAUUAAGAUUAUCUAAAAUGAAUGAUAACAUAUUACAAAUCCUCAUGAUAAAAGGAUAUUAACUAAUAAUAAACGUGUAAUAUAGUUUCAAAAAUAAAUAAAUAAACAAACGUGUAAUAUAGAAUAUGUUGCAAUAUAGAACAUCCUCCAUGUGAUAAAAAAACAUUCUCCAUUUAUUUUUUAGUCGGUGCAUUAUUGACUAUAUAUUAAUCUUUUAUUAGCUGAAUUUCUUAUUUUAAUGUACGCCGAAUUUUUGAUCCAAAAAAAAAAAUGUACGCCGAAUUCAUAACACCAGCUAAAUUUACAGUGGUGAAAAAAUUUCUAGUGCACUUUACAAAGCUGACUGAAUAUAUGCUUUGUUUCAUUCACUACAAGAAAACAACGGUAUUCUGACGGACGUUCCGACGGAAAAUGAAUUCCUCGGAAUAUACCGAGGAAUUUCCGAGGCAAUUCCGAGGAAACACAAAAUUUGGCUUCCUCGGAAUUUCCUCGGAAUAUUCCGACGGAAUUCCGAGGAAAAUUCAUCUCGUCGGAAUAUUCCGACGGAAUACCGAGGAAACUAGUAUUCCUCGGAAAAAACCGAUGAAUUCCGAGGAAAUAUUAUAGACGUUAGAGAGCCGUUGGAGAGCCGUUGGGGGAUUUUAAAAAUUCCGAGGAAAUUCCGACGAACUAGCCGUUUGCAUCGGAAUUCCGUCAGAAUUUCUUCGGACCGUCGGCAAGAUUUCAACUAUAAAUACAAGCACCCCUCUUCCUCUUCAUUCACUCCAUAUCUUCAUCCUCCCUCUCACUUUCUUUACACACGAAUUUGAUUCUUAAAAAACAUGUCUUCUUCAAAUUAUUUUCGUUCUUGGAUCGAUCGACCUCAUUUGGAUCCGAACACGAGAUUGCUUACGGAAGAAUAC